rnacentral:rRNA from 1 species
CAGCAGCCGCGGGAAUACGGAGGGUGCAAGCGUUAAUCGGAAUUACUGGGCGUAAAGCGUGCGUAGGCGGUGAGUUAAGUCUGCUGUGAAAUCCCCGGGCUCAACCUGGGAAUGGCAGUGGAUACUGGCUCGCUAGAGUGUGUCAGAGGAUGGUGGAAUUCCCGGUGUAGCGGUGAAAUGCGUAGAGAUCGGGAGGAACAUCAGUGGCGAAGGCGGCAUCUGGGACAACACUGACGCUGAGGCACGAAAGCGUGGGGAGCAAACAGGAUUAGAUACCCCAGUAGUCCCUGUCUCUUAUACA